rnacentral:rRNA from 1 species
GAUGAACGCUGGCUCCAGGCUUAACACAUGCAAGUCGAGGGGAAACGACGGGGAAGCUUGCUUCCCCGGGCGUCGACCGGCGCACGGGUGAGUAACGCGUAUCCAACCUGCCUCUGACUGAGGGAUAACCCGUCGAAAGUCGGCCUAAUACCUCAUGGCAUCGUCUGCGGGCAUCCAACGACGAUUAAAGAUUUCAUCGGUCAGAGAUGGGGAUGCGUCUGAUUAGCUUGUUGGCGGGGUAACGGCCCACCAAGGCGACGAUCAGUAGGGGUUCUGAGAGGAAGGUCCCCCACAUUGGAACUGAGACACGGUCCAAACUCCUACGGGAGGCAGCAGUGAGGAAUAUUGGUCAAUGGGCGAGAGCCUGAACCAGCCAAGUAGCGUGCAGGAUGACGGCCCUAUGGGUUGUAAACUGCUUUUAUGCGGGGAUAAAGUGAGGGACGUGUCCUUCAUUGCAGGUACCGCAUGAAUAAGGACCGGCUAAUUCCGUG